rnacentral:rRNA from 1 species
AUUGAACGCUGGCGGCGUGCUUUACACAUGCAAGUCGAGCGGCAGCAUUGUUGGGUAACUAACAGAUGGCGAGCGGCGAACGGGUGAGUAAUACAUCGGAACGAACCUUUAAGAGUGGGAUAACUGAUCGAAAGAUGAGCUAAUACCGCAUAUAGUCUGAGGACAAAAGCUGGGGACUAGAAAUGGCCUGGCGCUAAGAGAUCGGCCGAUGGUUGAUUAGCUAGUUGGUGGGGUAAGAGCUUACCAAGGCGAUGAUCAAUAGCUGUUCUGAGAGGAGGAUCAGCCACACUGGGACUGAGACACGGCCCAGACUCCUACGGGAGGCAGCAGUGGGGAAUUUUGGACAAUGGGGGCAACCCUGAUCCAGCAACACCGCGUGAAUGAAGAAGGCCUUCGGGUUGUAAAGCACUUUAGUUGAGGAAGAAAAGUAAUGAGUGAAUAACUGAUUGCUCUGACGGUACCCAAAGAAUAAGCACCGGCUAACUCUGUGCCAGCCGCCGCAGUAA